GCUCCUCCUUGACGGUUAGACGGCGGAGUGGGUCGGAGUAACACUAGGGCAACCUGCCCUGUAGUUGGGGAGUAACUCCGGGAAACCGGGGACGUAAUACCGAACUGAAUCAUUUCUUCUACAUGAAGGGAAUGCUGAAAGACGGCUUCGGCUGUCGCUACGGGAUGGGCCCGCGGCGCAUUAGCUAGUUGGUAAGGUAAUGGCUUACCAAGGCGACGAUGCGUAGCCGACCUGAGAGGGUGAUCGGCCACACUGGGACUGAGACACGGCCCAGACUCCUACGGGAGGCAGCAGUAGGGAAUCUUCCACAAUGGACGAAAGUCUGAUGGAGCAACGCCGCGUGAGCGAAGAAGGUUUUCGGAUCGUAAAGCUCUGUUGUGAGGGAAGAACAAGUACAGGAGUAACUGUCUGUACCUUGACGGUACCUCAUUAGAAAGCCACGGCUAACUACGUG
rnacentral:rRNA from 1 species